rnacentral:lncRNA from 1 species
UAGCAUCAGAAUAGUAAACUUUAAGGCCAUCGGAAGAGAAGCAAGAGACAAACUAAGUCUGACUUGUAUACUUUUAUAUAACGAUAUGAACAUGUACAUGUAUAAGCAAUGAAACAAUUGUGCUGAACAAUUAAAUAAAAAAAAUAUUAAUAAUGAUGAUGGCGAUGCUUAGUCUAAGAAAGAUGCAGCAGCAAUGGAUAUGGCAUCACCUCUCACGUUGCACAAGCUUGCUCAGAGGGCAACAAGUACUAAUUGUUGUAGACUUAGUUUAUAUAUGCAGAUUGAUUUAGAUGACCAAGUGUUAACAUUUUCUAGCAGUGACUAUGGUAUAAAUUUUAUAGGCAGUGGUGGCAACCAAUUUGGCGUGAAUAAGCCAAAGACAACAAACAAUUGUGUGUGUGUGUGUGU